AACGCACAUUGCGCCCGCCAGUAUUCUGGCGGGCAUGCCUGUCCGAGCGUCAUUUCAACCCCUCAAGCCCCGCUUGGUGUUGGGGACCGACCGCCCCCCGCGGCGCCGUCGGCCCUGAAAUGAAGUGGCGGUCCCGCCGUGGAACCCCUGCGUAGUAGCAAAAGCUCGCGAGGGCGACCGGCGGCGGCCACGCCCAACCCCCCCAUCCUUCUCAAGGUUGACCUCGGAUCAGGUAGGAAUACCCGCUGAACUUAA
rnacentral:misc_RNA from 1 species